GAUGAACGCUGGCGGCGUGCCUAAUACAUGCAAGUCGAGCGAACAGACUAGGAGCUUGCUCCUCUGACGUUAGCGGCGGACGUGUGAGUAACACGUGGAUAACCUACCUAUAAGACUGGGAUAACUUCAGGAAACCGGAGCUAAUACCGGAUAAUAUAUUGAACCUCAUGGUUCAAUAGUGAAAGACGGUAUGGCUGUCACUUAUAGAUGGAUCCGCGCCGCAUUAGCUAGUGGGUAAGGUAACGGCUUACCAAGGCAACGAUGCGUAGCCGACCUGAGAGGGUGAUCGGCCACACGGGAACGGAGACACGGUCCAGACUCCUACGGGAGGCAGCAGUAGGGAAUCUUCCGCAAUGGGCGAAAGCCUGACGGAGCAACGCCGCGUGAGUGAUGAAGGUCUUCGGAUCGUAAGACUCUGUUAUUAGGGAAGAACAAAUGUGUAAGUAACUAUGCACGUCUUGACGGUACCUAAUCAGAAAGCCACGGCUAACUACGUG
rnacentral:rRNA from 1 species